AUUGAACGCUGGCGGCAGGCCUAACACAUGCAAGUCGAACGAGUGGCGGACGGGUGAGUAAUGUCUGGGACACUGCCCGAUGGAGGGGGAUAACUACUGGAAACGGUAGCUAAUACCGCAUAACAUCGGAGGUGCCCAGAUGGGAUUAGCUAGUAGGUGGGGUAAUGGAUCACCUAGGCGACGCUCCCUAGCUGGUCUGAGAGGAUGACCAGCCACACUGGAACGUAGACACGGUCCGUACUCCUACGGGAGGCAGCAGGGGGGAAUAUUGCACAAUGGGCGCAAGCCUGAUGCAGCCGUGCCGCGUGUAUGAAGAAGGCCUUCGGGUUGUAAAGUACUUGCAGCGAGGAGGCGUUACUCGCAGAAGAAGCACCGGCUAACUCCGUGCCAGCAGCCGCGGUAAUUC
rnacentral:rRNA from 1 species